GAUAAGUUCUUAAUUCACAAAUCUAGUUAUUGCUAGCAACUCUGUUUCUCUGUUCUAAACCCUAGGACUUUAUACUUUUUAUUUCUAUUGUUGUGUGUUAGGUAAGAUUAGUUCAUGAUUAGGCUCGCAAGUCACAAUCUCAUUUUAGUGUGAAGUUUCUAUUUGAAACUAUCAAAAUCUUUAGAUGAUCCAGUUUAUUCUCAACUUUUUGGUGAAAUCUCUUCUUGUUCCUUCACUUGUCAAUGUGUUUUUUCACUGUGGAAAUGAUUUAGCUCUGCUGUGGUGGUUUGAGGUCCGUACGAUAAGUCUAUGCAAUGAAAGGAAAUUUGAAGCACAUGGAAGUUGAUUGGGCAUGCAGAUAAAGUUUGGUCGGUAUUGAGAACUUAAAGAAAUAUCAAGAGGCAUAUUCCCUCAAGAAUUAGCUCUACAUACUCUGUUUUUUUAUUGGAAUUAUAUUGUUGGGUUUGAAUUGUUCUUAGUUUGUUUCCGAGUUUUAAUUUGCAUAAUCUCCGAUGUAUAAGGAGUCAACAAGUAGUCCUAGCAUUUCGCUUCAGUUAGUCGUGCUUCCUAUAUUCUCUGUUUCUAGUUAUUGUAGAAGAUUGAGUCUUCAGCUCUAGGCUGUUUAUAGCCCUUUCAUUUGUGAUAAUAAAAAC
rnacentral:sRNA from 1 species